AUAUCUCUCUGUACGGGAAGGAUGAGAAGCUUCGACUAAGGUUCGAUUCGAGCGCAGCGAGAAAGCGUUGCCGUAGGCAACGACCCGAAGGGCGAAG
rnacentral:sRNA from 1 species